CCCCCCCCCCCCCUCCUUCCCUCCCUCUGCAAUCCCCUCGCGCUGUGCAGGGAGCGCAGCGCGCGCCGCCGCUCGUCGGCCCGGACAGGGGCGGGGAGGAGGAGGAGGAGGCGGCGCGCGCCGCCGGGCGGCCUGAGAGCGCGCGCCCCCUGCGGGCGCCAGCGGGGCGGCGCAGCCCCAUGGAGCGGGUGAGCGAGGCCGCCGCCUGCGGCCCCUCGUCGGGCUGCUACACGUACCAGGUGAGCCGGCACAGCGCCGACAUGCUGCACAGCCUCAACCAGCAGCGCAAGAACGGCGGCCGCUUCUGCGACGUGCUCCUGCGCGUGGGCGACGAGAGCUUCCCGGCGCACCGGGCGGUGCUGGCCGCCUGCAGCGAGUACUUCGAGUCGGUGUUCAGCGCGCAGCUGGGCGACGGGGCAGGAGGCGGCGGCGGCGGCGCGGAGGGGGGCGCGACGGAGGCGGCGGCGGCCGGCGGGGCCGCGGCGGCGGCCGGCGGGGCCCCCGGGGGCGGGCGGGAGCUGGAGAUGCACACCAUCAGCUCCAAGGUUUUCGGAGACAUCCUGGACUUCGCCUACACGUCGCGCAUCGUGGUGCGGCUGGAGAGCUUCCCGGAGCUCAUGACGGCCGCCAAGUUCCUGCUGAUGCGCUCCGUGAUUGACAUCUGCCAGGAGGUCAUCAAGCAGUCCAAUGUGCAGAUCCUCGUGCCCCCCGCGCGCCCCGACAUUAUGCUCUUCCGUCCGGGGGCUGCUGACCUCGGCUUCCCUCUUGACAUGACCAACGGUGCCGCUUUGGCACCCAAUGGCAACGGCAUCGCUGGCAUGCCCGAAGACGAGGCCACGCGGGCUGCGCUCACUGCUGCGCAGUCCUCCCUACCUGUUCUGCAGGGGGUGGACCGCCUGCCCAUGGUGGCGGGACCUCUGUCCCCACCGCUGCUGGCCUCGCCUUUCCAGAAUGUUGCUGCUAGUGCCCCCACUUUAAGCACCAAGAGGGGCAGAGGGCGUCCCCGUAAGGCCAAUCUCUUGGACUCCAUGAUGUUUGGUACCCCAGGGGGCCUGCGAGAGGCCGGUAUCCUGCCUUGUGGCCUCUGUGGGAAAGUAUUUACGGAUGCUAAUCGUCUUCGUCAGCACGAGGCUCAACAUGGGGUGACAAGCUUACAGCUGGGCUACAUAGACAUCCCACCCCCGAGACUGGGUGAGAACGGUGUCCCGGGUCAGGAUGACCCUGACGCCCCCCGAAAAAGAAGCAGGACGAGGAAACAGGUGGCCUGUGAGAUCUGUGGCAAGAUUUUUCGGGACGUGUACCACCUGAAUCGGCACAAGCUGUCGCACUCUGGCGAGAAGCCUUACUCUUGUCCGGUGUGUGGCUUACGGUUCAAGCGGAAAGACAGGAUGUCCUAUCAUGUUCGAUCUCAUGAUGGCUCUGUGGGAAAGCCCUACAUCUGCCAGAGCUGUGGAAAAGGCUUCUCCAGGCCAGACCACUUGAAUGGACACAUCAAACAGGUGCAUACCUCAGAGAGACCUCACAAGUGUCAGCAGGAAAAUGGCAGCCACCAUGGAAUAAGCUCAGAGACAUCCACAUCCAUAGAAAAGUUGAAACUUCAAGAGACUUGUAAUGCUUCCUUUGCCACUCGUGACCGACUGCGCUCACACCUAGCAUGUCAUGAAGACAAAGUUCCAUGCCAGGUGUGUGGGAAGUAUUUGCGAGCAGCAUAUAUGGCAGAUCAUUUGAAGAAACAUAGUGAAGGACCAAGCAAUUUCUGCACUAUCUGUAACCGAGGUUUCUCCUCUGCCUCCUACUUAAAGGUCCAUGUUAAAACCCACCACGGUGUUCCCCUUCCCCAGGUCUCCAGGCACCAGGAGUCCAUCCCGAAUGGGGGAGCAGCGUUCCACUGCGUCAGGACCUAUGGCAUCAAAGAAGGCCAGAAAUGUUCACAUUCGGACCCGAUUGAGAGUUCUGAUUCAUACGGAGACCUCUCUGACACCAGUGACCUCAAGACUCCUGAGAAACAGAGCACCAAUGGGUCCUUCUCGUGUGACAUGGCAGUCAGCAAAAACAAAAUGGAGACGGAAGGAGAGAAGAAGUACCCUUGCCCUGAAUGUGGCAGCUUUUUCAGAUCAAAGUCUUAUCUGAACAAACACAUACAGAAAGUUCACGUCAGGGCCCUUGGUGGCCCAUUGGGGGACCUCGGUCCUGCUCUAGGAUCCCCCUUUUCACCCCAACAGAACAUGUCUCUCCUGGAGUCAUUUGGGUUUCAGAUCGUCCAGUCAGCAUUUGCAUCAUCCCUAGUGGAUCCAGAGGUCGACCAGCAACCAAUGGGGCCAGAGGGGAAAUGAGAUCAGUUUGAUCUUAACAAAGCAAAGCAGCAGUCUGGCUAUAAUGAUAAGAUGCUGUGAAUGAAAGAGGAAAUAAUGAAAUUUGGUUCUAUAGCUGAGAAUUUUUUAUUCAUUUUAGCUUCCCUCUUUGUCUCAUGCCCUACCCCACCUUUAAACCUUCACUGGGGAGAGGGAGAAAAUGCUUCUUAGCUGAUAAAUUACAGAAGAUGGUGACCUUGAAUAGGAGACAUGACCUAAAACACCAAAUGGAGCUUUAGAGGCUGCUGCUGGUGUUUCGUUAUGAUCUUCUAAAAUAAACAAAAGUUGCCAGCACCGAUCUGAGAAUUAGACAGUCGUAGUGACCGAGGCACCUGGGGAGCUACAGCUACAGGGAGCUAUGCUUUUGUUCUCUCUCUAUUCCCCACCUUCCCUAACCUGCCCCAGAAAAACAGUAAGUUUUAAAACCAGACCCAUUAUCGACCCAUUAUUGAAUAUAACAUUAAGUAAAAUGCCCCGUGGUACCUAGCAGGUUACAAUGCAGUUGUCCUUUUAAAAACAGAAAAAUUUAAAGAAGGUGAGAGAAUUUGAACCCCUUCUGCCAUUUGUGAGGCUGUGAGUGCUGCAGCAGGACUGAACUGCUGAGAAAAAUCACCAUUCAGAACAGGUUGUUUUUGUUACUUUUAACCAUUGAACUUGCUGUCAGGUUUUUAAUUCUUUAUUAUUAUUAUUUUAGGACCUGUUGUAGUGAAUUGCUACUGAAAAGCCAGUCUAAGGCGAUACACAGAGCACUCUUAAAGCAGCAGUCACAUUAGGCACCAGCACUUUCUAAAUUGAGAGCAUGUUGCAGUGGACUUGAUGUUUUGCUAUUAAUCUGUGUUGGGAGACUGAAGGACAUGUUCUUCUCCAUUCAUCUUCCCCCAGAAUCCCUGGAAUAGGUGCUUGCUUGAGGAAGUAGAUGCCAAAGUAAACUUCAAAGGAACUCCAGACUUCAGUGUUGGAAGAUUGAAUGGAGAGCAAGAGCUCUCUUUGGGUUUCAUGAGAGAUAAAUGGACAAAGUAAAAAAACAGCUACCAAAAUUUUACAUAAUGAAACAGGAAAGGCUUUUCUUUAUCACCCACAAAAAUAAUCAGAUAUUUUCAAUUGUUCAGCGUGGCAGAAACUCUGAGAGCAAGUGCCAAACAAAACCAUGGAAUGUGUUGGCUUUUUCAGCAUUAUGAAUAUACCUGAACAGCAUUAUGAAUAUUUUAAUGUAAAUUAAGCCAGCUUUGUACCAUUCACCUUUUGCCUGGGCACAGUACCUGAGUUUUAAUUGAAUACAACAUUAGCUCACAGUGAAUCUCUGAGCUUAUGCUCUCAGUUCCGCCCCAAGAGACAAAACAAAUGAGCAAAGAGGGGAAAAAAGCCAACAGGAAAACUUAAAAGGGAAAACAGAUUCUGGAAGAUUCCCAUGUCUCCUGAGAGAGUCCCAUUUUUAUACCCUGAACAUCCUUUUCAAAACAAGAUCCUUCAGCUGUUGUGAAUGAGACUUUGGGAACAAAUUUGGCUUUCAGCCCAACCUGCUGCUCCCUGUCCCUGUAAGAAGGCUCUGUGUUUCGGAGCGCUGAGCCUGGGACCAGGAGGGAGGCAGUGCUCUUGGGCUGCAGCCUGAGACCACAUUUACUGUUGCAGAGUCAGCAGCAGCAACAUUGGCAUAAUGUCUUACUGCCUACUUCCGUAACACCUUCACCCUCCACACAUUCCUAUGCCAGUAUGGUACCUACUCGGAUAUGUACAGCUCUGCAAAUAACUGUGUUGGCUAUAAAACAAACCAGAGAACUAUUUGGCUAAAAAGAAAAAAAAAACAAAAGUAGUUAUGUGGCAUAACUGCAGAGUGGUGCAGAACAGGAGCAGGAACACUGGCUGUAAGGGCUUGUGGUGAUGGCUGGAAUGGUUAAAGCAUGUUAGUGAAAAACCACAGUUGUUUGCUCUUUGGUAGUGGAUAAUGACUGCUUGUUUGUAAAGAAUUAAUACCUUGUGUCAUCUCUAGUCUCUUCCUGUGUUUUGUUCCCAUCUAUAAAAUGAGAUGAUGAUAACCCUUGGGUAAGAAUGUUUCAAGAUUUGAUUGAUGUGCCAAGUUGUGCUGCAGAAUUGUGCUGCUGAACUCUGCCACAAACGUUUGGCCUCACUGACUUCAGGUGUAAUGCAAAGUUAAAGAAACAUUUGGCCACAUUUUUCCUGAAAGGUGAAAUAUUUAAAUUAAUUUAAAGACUGCAUGGCACUAUUGAUCUGCUCUCAGGGUUUAUGUGAAUGAAGCUUUUCCUGAGUGGCCUCUUUACUUGUACUGCAAUUUUGGAGACCUGGAAGUGCUCUGAUCUGAGAUGUGCUGAAGGAAGGAGGUAACUGGUGUCUCACUGAUGUGCCAGUGACUCCCUCCCAGUUCCUGGGUUCCAUGUGGACCAUGGGGUCACUUCGUACAGCCACUGGCAGCUAUAAAUGCUCUUGAGUUUCCUGCAGUCACAUAGUAAGCUUGGGUAAGUGCUUUUAUAAUAAAUCAGUCUCAUGCUUGCUAAUAGCUUUUUCGCUGCUGUGUCCACAAACUGGUGCCUUCUCCAGGCAAUUUUUACAUGCCCUCUGCAAAGUUGUCAGACUGACUGCUGGCUCUUAAAGAAUCAACCAAGCCUUGCUCUUGGGCUCAGAAUUUCUCUUCAGUACUGUUGUAAUCUGAAAGUUUGCUGCAAUUAGUGCAAAUACACAGUGUAAGACAGAAAAUAAAAGGCUGUUCUCAGAUGUCCUGUAGAGUGAACAACUGAAACACGAGUGUGGGAUGAGCCAGGAAAAUUGGUAUUUUUCCCUGGCUGCACGCCAUAUGGAAGAGACAGUGCCUUGGAAGGGAAGGAGCAGAAAAGUUUGCCAUUGGCUCUGAUGAAUCCCAAUCCUGCUUCUACUGAAGUUGUUGGGAAUCCUCCCAUUGUCUUCAGUGUGAGCAAGAAAGGAUCUUAGGUGAGGAUGGAUGACUCUUUCCCUACUUGAAUGAAGUCUCUUGCCUAUUUAUGGGCCUGCUUCUAUUGAAACCGAGCCUGUUUUAGCCUUUUUGGGUUCUUAGGGACCUGUUUGUAUAAAGCAACUUACCUACCUAUCUUUUUUUUUUUUUUUCUAUUGUGUGUAUUUUUUGUAUGUUCUGUUGGAAGGUGAAGCCUCUGUAGAAGGGGAUACAAAAACUGAUUUUUUAAAUAGUAAUAAACCAAAAGAGAAUUAAA